rnacentral:rRNA from 1 species
AUGCCGACUCAUCUUGUUUGGUGGCCUAUUAAAUUGGGCGGAGAUGCGUUCCAAGAGGCCACCUUCUCACUCUCUCUCUCUCUCAAUCAGAAGAAGAAAAGAUAUCUUUCAAGAGGCAGACGACGCCGACGCAGGCGGAGACCAGAGUCAACCUUCUUCUCUCUCAAAGGAAAGCUGGAUCGGAUCCAUCCUCGGAAUCGUUCCCGUGAACUGAAGCCAGCCAGGAGAGAGCAAGCUUCGUCAAGGUCCUCCUCCCACCACCUUCACAAGGGAGGGCAUCUCCAGGUCGAGGUAGCACCACUGGCAACCAUGGAGGCGGCUCUGGUGAGUGCAGCGACGGGAGCCUUGAAACCCGUUCUAGCAAAGCUGGGUGCUCUGGCAGGCGAUGAGUACAAGCGGUUCAAGGGUGUGCGUGAUGAUAUCAAGUCACUCACGCGUGAACUCACUGCCAUGGAAGCAUUUCUUCUCAAGAUGUCAGAGGAAGAGGACCCUGAUGUUCAGGAUAAGGUGUGGAUGAAUGAGGUGCGGGAGCUCUCUUAUGACAUGGAGGACUCUAUCGAUGACUUCAUGCAGAAUGUGGGCAGCCAAGAUUCAAAGCCAGAUGGUUUCUUGGAAAAGAUGAAGAACUCGUUGGGGAAGAUGAAGGCUCGUCGUCGCAUCGGAAAUGAGAUCCAUGAUCUGAAGAAACAGAUCACAGAGGUGGCGGAGAGGAAUGAAAGGUACAAGGCUCGUGAGGCCUUCUCCAAGGCUAAGAAUACAACCGUUGACCCCAGAGCUCUUGCUAUCUUUCAGCAUGCCUCCGAGCUUGUCGGAAUUGAUGAACCCAAGGCCGAGAUAAUUAAACUGUUGACACAAGGUGAGUCAACACAAGAGAAAAUGAACUUGCUAUCCAUUGUUGGAUCUGGAGGAAUGGGAAAGACAACUCUUGCAAACCAAGUGUAUCAAGAUCUCAAAGGAAAAUUUCAAUGUCGAGCCUUCUUAUCCGUUUCAAGGAAUCCAGACAUGAUGAAUAUCCUAAGGACUAUUCUUAGUGAAGUUAGUGGCCAACGUUACACCGACACCGAAGCAGGAAGUAUACAACAACUCAUCAUCAAGAUCACUGAUUUCCUAGUAGACAAAAGGUAUUUUGUUGUUCUUGACGAUAUAUGGGAUGUGGAUACAUGGGAUAUUAUUAAGCUUGCAUUUCCCUUGACUAGUUCUGGCAGUAUCAUAAUCACAACUACCCGUAAAAAUGAUGUUGCUGAAUCAUGCCAUUUGAAACCAUUCAAUGGAGAUAUUUAUCGCAUAAGGCCUCUUGAUAUGGUGCACUCUAGGCAGUUAUUUUACACAAGAUUAUUCAACUCCGAAGAAAAUUGCCCCUCAUACCUUAAAAAGGUUUCUGAGCAUAUAUUGAGAAAAUGUGCUGGAUUGCCUUUGGCAAUCAUUGCUAUAUCUGGUUUGUUGGCUAAUACUGAAAGGACAGAGGGUCCAUGGAAACAAGUUGAAGAUUCGAUUGGUCGAGCACUUGAAAGAAAUCCCAGUGUUGAAGGAAUGAUGAAGAUAUUGUCACUUAGUUACUUUGAAUUGCCUGCUCAUCUGAAAUCUUGUCUUUUAUGUUUGAGUAUAUUCCCUGAAGAUUCUGUUAUCAAUAAGAAAUUUUUGAUAAAGAGGUGGAUUGCUGAAAGAUUAAUUCAUACAGAAGCCGGAUAUAGUACAACAUAUGAAUUUGGUGAAAGGUGUUUUAAUGAGCUCAUCAAUAGGAGUUUGAUCCAGCCUGGGGAAAAAGAAAUAGAUGGUACUAUAAAGAGUUGUCGACUUCAUGACACAAUUCUUGAUUUCAUCAUAUCCAGGUCCAUCGAAGAAAACUUUGUUACUUUGGUGGGUGUUCCUGGUUUAACUGUUGGGACACGCAACAAAGUUCGUCGGCUCUCCCUGCAAGCCGGCAAGGAAAAAGAAGUGAUACUGCCAAGAGGCUUGGUGUUGUCUCAUGUACGAUCACUUGAUGUGUUUGGGGAAUCGGUGAAAAUCCCUUCUAUGGACAAGUUCAGGCAUUUGCGUUUUCUGGACUUUGAAGAUUGCAAACAGCUAGAGAACCACCAUCUUGAAAAUAUAGAGAGAUUGUUUCAGCUGAGGUACUUGAGCCUCCGAAGAGCGGAGAAAGUAACUAAGCUCGUAGAACAAAUCGGACAUCUAAGGUGUUUAGAGAUACUAAAUUUAAGAGGCACCCAUGUUUGUGGGUUACCAACAUCUAUUCUCAAUCUCAAGAGAUUGGUGCACCUAUUAGUCGACAGUGGUGUUACACUUUCUUGUGGAAUUUCCAAGAUGCAAUCACUGGAGAAUUUGAAGCUUGUCAGUGUCUACAACCAUUCAUUUAACUUCCUGCAAGAAUUGGAGCAGCUGCAGAGUCUGAAGAAAUUGGCCCUUGAUUUUGAGGAUUAUAGUUCUGCUGACCGAGUGAAUGCUGAAAAUGAGUCCAAGAGAGCUAUUAUUGUCACUUCCCUUAAAAACCUAGGGAACCUUCUAUCUCUAGCUAUUUGGGAUGGCCCCGAAUUUGUAGGGGAAUCUCUGUGCCCUAUGCCACUUAACCUCCAGAAGCUGAAAGUCCGUGGUUCUAUUAUUCCCCAUGUUCCAAAUUGGGUGGGCUCCCUUGUCAACCUCCAGGAGUUACGCCUUGAAUUGUUCAGAGCUGAGCAGAAAGAUUUCUAUAUCCUUGGAGGCUUACCUGUUCUGCGUUGUCUGAUUCUGAGAAUUUUUGACCGUGAAAUUAGAAAUACCUCAUUAACAGAAGAGCCUGAAGUUACAAGGGUCAUAGUCUGUGGUGAGGUUGGAUUCCCAUGCUUGAGGAUAUUUAAUUAUGAUAAUGGGUACGGUGGUAUGAAUUUGACCUUUGCGGCUGGAGCCAUGCCCAAGGUAGAUGACCUCUCGAUAGAAUUUAACGCAGCAAAAACUGGGUCUCUCGAUACCAGCGGUGCUUUUGAUCUCGGAAUAGAAAAUCUCCCCGGCCUCCUUAAAAUCAGAUGUUACGUAUGGGGAGACGUCAAGGAUAGAAUUGAAGCUGCAGAAGCUGCCAUUCGGGAAGCAACCAACGCACAUCCCAACCGCCCUACUCUUGACUUGGACUGA